GUGGGGAAUCUUCCGCAAUGGGCGCAAGCCUGACGGAGCAACGCCGCGUGAGUGAAGAAGGCCUUCGGGUCGUAAAGCUCUGUCUUUGGGGAAGAACAACCAGGGUGUGAACAAUGCUCUGGUCUGACGGUACCUGAGGAGGAAGCUCCGGCUAACUACGUGCCAGCAGCCGCGGUAAUACGUAGGGAGCGAGCGUUGUCCGGAAUUACUGGGCGUAAAGGGCGUGUAGGCGGGGAUUUAAGUAAGGUGUGAAAACUGCGGGCUCAACCCGGAGAUUGCACUUUAAACUGGAUUUCUUGAGGGCAGGAGAGGAAAGUGGAAUUCCUAGUGUAGCGGUGAAAUGCGUAGAUAUUAGGAGGAACACCAGUGGCGAAGGCGACUUUCUGGACUGUACCUGACGCUGAGGCGCGAAAGCGUGGGUAGCGAACAGGAUUAGAUACCCUUGUAGUCC
rnacentral:rRNA from 1 species